rnacentral:rRNA from 1 species
CCUACGGGGGGCAGCAGUGGGGGAUAUUGCACAAUGGGGGGAACCCUGAUGCAGCGACGCCGCGUGGGUGAAGGAGCGUUUCGGCGCGUAAAGCCCUAUCGGCAGGGAAGAAGGAGGACGGUACCUGACUAAGAAGCCCCGGCUAACUACGUGCCAGCAGCCGCGGGAAUACGUAGGGGGCAAGCGUUAUCCGGAUUUACUGGGUGUAAAGGGGGCGCAGACGGCAGCGCAAGCCAGGAGUGAAAGCCCGGGGCCCAAGCCCGGGACUGCUCUUGGAACUGCGCGGCUGGAGUGCAGGAGGGGCGGGCGGAAUUCCUGGUGUAGCGGUGAAAUGCGUAGAUAUCAGGAGGAACACCGGUGGCGAAGGCGGCCUGCGGGGCUGCGACUGACGUUGAGGCCCGAAAGCGUGGGGAGCAAACAGGAUUAGAUACCCGAGUAGUC